rnacentral:lncRNA from 1 species
GAAUUGCCGGAAAAGGAUAAUGGGAAGACAAGUGCAUGGUUUCCAAAACUGGCAUACGACCAGAGCCAAGCCAACCUGCAUUGUACUUUGGAUUCGUAUCAGAGAGAUCAUAAUUAUUGUAGUUGACCUGAAAGUCUCACGACAUAAUCCCUCUGUACUUGCUGCUACUCUCACUAUAUCGAUCUCACAUUAUUUCUUGUUCACUUCAAAGGUCAAAUCUUUCCAGCUUCCUCUCAUCAUCUGGGUUUUGCUCUCUUUUGUGCAAUCUCUUCUCUGAGCAAGCUAUACACAGAGACAGGUAAUAACCUUCUUCUUCUUCUUCUUCUUCUUCUUCUUCUGAAUAAUCUGUAUUUUGUUAUUAGUAGUACUCUGAUUUAUAGUGAAGCAGGAAAGAUAAUGCUUCUAAUAGCUAGCUAUGAAGAAGCUAUCCUCCCUUUUAGUUUCUUUUGCAAAUAGUUGAACAAUAUUAACAUGUAGAGCCGAACUUUUGUGGGAACUUUUUCUUUUAAUAUUCACAUGAACAUAAUGUGGGCUUGAGGGAUUUAUACAGGGUCUAAAUCUUAUUAAGAGUAUGUUUUUGUAAAAGAUUGAAAGCCUUGAAGGAUGUUCUAUCUCUCUGCCUUCAACGACAGAGGAGAAAAGGGGACACCAAUAAUCUUCUUCAUUGAAACAGAGAGAAGGCAUUCAGAUAGCACUAGAAAUGGAAUAAAGAUAACUUUGUUCAUCUCUCGUUUACAUCCUACUAGAAAUUCAAGUUACUCUUCAUAAAGUAGUGAAGAACCCAUUUCCGUUUCAAUUUUCUUUGCCGAUGAAAAGAGUUUUAGAACAUAAAUUCCUAUUGUGUUCUAAGAAAAUUAAUAGUUCAAGUCCACUUAUUUGUUUCCUUAAACAUUAUAAUGCACAGAAGUCAGAUGUUUAUAGUAUUACUGAUACCAGUGUGUAUUGAGAAGAGUGAAUAAAGAAGUUAGAGGCUGUUCUUCUAAGCAUACAAAUGAGCAGGAGAGAUAGAGAAAGCAACUCUCUGAACUCUCUGAUCAGGAACAGAGUUGGCAUUUAAACAUCUCCACAUUAUAACUUUCAUUUAGUUUGAUAAUGGAGAUUUCUAAUUUUGUGGUGUGAUGGUGCAAUUUACUGGCGCAGAUCGAUCAAUGGCGAAACUUAAAGGUUUUGCUGCAGCUGUCCUAGUAGUGGCUCUUGUGGCAUUGUUUGUUUUCUAUGUCAAGCAUGAGAUUGAUAGAAACAGCAAUCACGAUUCUCCCACACCACCAGCAUUUCAACCAUUCUACCCACCAAUUCCAUCAGUGCCUGUGAAUCCUCCACCACCACUCUACGCGUUCCCACCACCAGCUGAUCAGAAGGAGGAGGAGGCCACCUGAUCUGCAUCUCAUCACUAUCUUGAUUCUUGACACUACGUUAUCAUUACUAUCAGUUUAAGGCUCUAAUGCUCUUUUGAAGUAUGUAUUGCUUCAGACCACUUCUAUAGUAGGAUUGUUCAAGUGAUGAUGACCAUUUUGAUCUCAGUAUUCAGACUCCUUAGGAUUGAUAUGUAAGGUUUAUUUGUUGGAUGAUAUUUGAUAGUGUUGUCUGGGAUAACUAUGCUUAUAUAUCCACUAAUUCUGAAAGUGAACAUUACCAUAUUCACAAUCACUCUUAUUCCUUUAGGCUAAAAUACAGUGCAUUGCUUCUGUUUCAGCAUUUUGUACUCUUAAACCACAGCCGCUUGUCAGUUCUCUUUAGUG